CUCCCUCUUCCUCUCGCUCUCUCUCUGUCUGUGAGCUUGCGCGCACGGCUGAAGUCGUGUCCGGGAGAAGUUUCCAAUGCGUGCCUCAGGAGUGCGUGGGGACUGUGGCGCAUUGGACGAGCGGCGGUGUUGAAUGAAGGGGGAAAGGAGGAGGGAGAUCGCACAUUAACUCCUGCUGGCUGCGGGGACUCUAGUUUGUACCGAAGCGAAGGCAGAGGGAUUCACUGGGAGCAACACCGACAGCUUUUGGGACCAGAAGAGACAAAUGGAACACAAAAGCCAACCCACUUAAUUCUGUGUCUAUUUGCCUACCCGGUGUUUCCCGAGGGAUUUUACGCACCGCAAAGGAGUGAAGGAAACGCUGCAGAGAUGAGUGUUGCAUGGUUGUACAUGCCCCCGAAGGGUCCCCUCUCCUGAUAAAGGGACCAAAGAGGACCAAACGCCGUCCCUGAUAUUUUCCCAAAGAAGAUUGCAAAGGUGGAGCGAUUAGAGAAGGGCUGAUGACGGGACUAUUAAUCCUUUCAGUGCAUCAAAAGCACCAAAGGGUAUCGGAAACGCUUGGAUGGAAAUCGGGCGAGUGUUUAGAACUGUUUUUGGUUUUAUAUGAAACUGGUGAUUAGUUCAAUCUGCGAAGGAUAUUUUGUUUUUCCUCUGUAGAUUUUAAUUGAGGAGUACGUUUGCUUGUUUUGUUUCACCGAAAGAUUGCGUGACAUGAGCGGUUUCCCGGAGUGAAUUUUUAGAAACUCUCAGCUCAAUCUUUUUUUUCUCUUUAAGUAUUCCCAAAUCUAAAUGGAAUUUGUUCAGUCUGAAGCCGUUUGUGAAAGGAACAGACAUGGUACAUGGGCACAGCUUCCAUCACGUUGUUGCAAGUCUUCUCAUUCUUGGGUUGUCUGGAGCAACAAGGAAGGAUACAUCAGUGAAGAACAACUCUGGAGUGAAGCCUGCUGGUCAAUGUGGAACGUGGGUGAAAGAACCAGAAGGAGGCAUCUUCACUUCUCCCAAUCACCCAAACAAAUACCCCCCAGACACAGAGUGUGUUUACAUCCUUGAAGCACCCCCGAGGCAAUGCAUCGAUCUACACUUUGAUGAGAAUUAUUCGAUCGAGUCCUCCUGGGAAUGUAAAUUUGACAACAUCGAGGUACGGGAUGGACCGUUUGGCUUCUCCCCGAUACUGGGACGGUACUGCGGUCAGCACAGGCCGCCUUACAUCAGGAGUAGCGGCCGAUAUCUGUGGAUAAAAUUUGUUACGGACGGUGAACUGGAGGCGGUGGGGUUUUCGGCGAGCUACAACUUCACCGCAGAUCCGGACUUUGCAGACAUGGGAGUACCCCCACCUCUGCCCUCUUGUCAGUAUGACAUGGUCGGUCCAGACGGCAUCGUUGAGUCCCUUCAGAUCACCAGAGACGGGAAGGCGGAUGCCACCGAGGCCGUCGAUUGUAAAUGGUACAUCCGCGCUCCGCCGCGCUCCAAGAUCUACCUGCGUUUUCUCGACUAUGAAAUGGCCAAUUCCAACGAAUGCAAGCGCAACUUUGUAGCAGUGUACGAUGGUGGCAGCUCGGUGGAAGACCUGAAGAACAAGUUCUGCUCCACGGUGGCCAACGACAUCAUGCUGGUUUCCACGCUGGGCGUCAUCCGCAUGUGGGCAGACGAGGCCAGCCGCAAAAGCCGCUUUCGCAUCCUCUACACGACCUACCAAGAGCCUCCAUGUGAGCCAGAGGCCUUCUUCUGCCACAGCAACAUGUGCAUAAACAACACGCUGGUGUGUAACGGCCUGCAGAACUGUGUCUACCCCUGGGAUGAGAACCAAUGCAAAGAGAAGAGGAAAACCAACAUCCUGGACAACCUGAACAACACAAACGGGACCAUAAUCGGCGUCACUUGCUGCAUCGUCCUCAUCCUCCUAAUCGUCUCCGUCAUCGUCCAAAUCAAGCAGCCGCGUAAAAAGUACAUCCUCCGGCGCGAGGACUUUGACCCCACCAUGUUCCAGGAGGUCUUCGAGCCGCCCCACUACGAGCUGUGCACUCUGCGGAGCGCCACCGCGGCGGCGGCAGCGGCCUCGGCCGACCUGGUCGACCUCGCGGAAGACUUUGAGAACUACCACGGCCUGCGGCGGGCCUCCUCCCGCUGCGUCCACGACCACCACUGCGGCUCCUUCUCCAACCCCGGCUCCGCCCACCUGUCCCAGCUGUCGCUCAGCGGGCGCGGCAGUCGCGGGAACCUGAGCGCCCGAGACUCGGCGGGCGGCGCUCUGCUCGCGGACCUGCCGCAGGCGCCCAUGGCGGUGCGGCCCUUGCUGCCGUCCACCGGGAACCGCAGGAGCAUCUUGGUCAUGAAGCACAGCUACUCGCAGGAGGCGGCGGACAAUGGGUGUGACCUGGAGGACGACCUGGAGGAGGUUCCCACCACCAGCCACCGGCUGUCGCGUCACGAGAAGGCAGUACAGCGGUUCUGCCUCAUUGGCUCUUUGAGCAAACAUGAAUCAGAGUACAACACAACUAGGGUCUAAGAGACAAUUUCAAGGUAAGCUACCCUAUCCAACAAUCCAAAUCUCUAAAUGUUUUUGUGUAGUUACCAUUUGCCGAGUCAGUAUAUAUUUUGAUGCAAGUUUUCCUUUUCUGUGAUUUUUGUCUGGGUUUAUAUUUUAUGGGUUUUUUUGUUUUGUUUUUGUUUUCACCAAGAUGGUUUUAUUGCUUGCAGCCAUCUUGAGUUUGUUUUGACGUAUUUGUGAUGCUGAAGUCAACUGUAUGUCCUCCCAAGGACAUACAUUGUAUCACUCAGUGGACAUUCAUUGGCAUGGAUUCUUUAAUCAUCUUUUGUUGAAAAUGUUAUCAAAUAUGUCUAACCUCUUCACUCUCCUCCGGAGUAAAAUAAAUUUACAUCACUCAUGUGAAGUAAAUUGUUAAGUCGAUAUAUAAAAGCACAAAUUACAAAGCAAUCGCAUGUUUACAUGAAAGCAUCAAUGAUUUACACAUCUUAACUGAUCACACAUUCAUACUGAAUCCCUCUAUUGUCAUGCAUGGUGUCCCAGUCCAAUGCAGUGUUUGGUUGAUUGUCAAGUACAGUAUUUAUGCCUGUGUGUGACAGUUAAUGUGUACGCUCCAGGGCUGUGCUUCAUGAGGUUGCAAUACGCACAAUAUGAGUAUCAACAUAUGACGAAUCAAUAUGAAAUGUAAGUAAACGAUGAAAAGAACCCAUCAUUAUUUUAAAAAGGUACAUUUCAAAUGCAAAUACGGAUUUAUCUUGCAUAAUUUAUGCUUGCAGCUUUACGCUUGCAUAAAAUGGAGCAGUCACAAAAAGUGUUACCUACUGUUUUGUCUUUAAUUGUGUAAAGUGUGCUUUCAUGUUGUGUUUUGUGUGUGUGUGUGUGUGUGUGUGUCUGUCUGCUUAUGUUCUACAUUAUGUUGCAUUGUCUCCAUCAUGUAGACUUCUUGAGAAUAGUGCAAUCCUGGAUCAGUACGAACGGGCGUCGCUCGCAUAUGAAAAAGCGGAGCAGGGAUUUACACCAGCAUGAUGCUGAUGAUGCUGAUGAUGGUGAUGAUGGUGACGAUUAUGAUGAUGAUGAUGAUGAUGAAGGGACCCUUUGACGACAGGAUACUGAAUCUGUAUUCAUGUACAAAGAUGAACACAAAGGACUAGAUGAAAUGCUGUGAAGCGCAUCAGCUCUGUACGCACUGCAGUAAACCCAGAAUGUAUGCGUCACUGUAAAAGAGAUGGACCUUUUCAGAAUGACUGAUUACUGAUUAUUCUCUGGUAAACGUUAAAAUAUGGGAUGUCAGUCAGAAACAUAUCGGUCACUGUUAAUGAUUCCUCACUGAAAACUAAAGAAAUAUGAUCAAACAUCUUCAUGUUUAUUUCUAAGCAUGUAUUUUUUAAAUGAAUAGCACACAUGUUAUCAUUUUAUAGCAAACUUUAGAUGCCCGCAAUUUUUUUAAUCUAGAUUUAUUUUAUAAAAAAGGUAAAAAUUUGGUUUAAUUACUAACCUUGAUCAAUUUAAAGCUGUUGGAAUACCCACAAAUAGUGGGUAUAUAUAGUAUACUAUAGUAUAUAAUUUGGAUAACAGUUCAAGGCUGAGAUAUGCAUGCUUAUUUUCUAUUCAACCAACAUUAACUUACUAACAUUAAAGUUCCCCCCCAUCUACUAAUACAUAUCUCUUAACACAUAGAGUACUGAGGCAUCUCAAAUAUGAAAUACACUGCAUGCUGUUGCUUAUUCAAUCAAGAGAAUUGCGCAACUUCAUUUAAACUUCAUUUACACACUUUAAAACCCCCUUUUAAAUACGUUGACUAACUUCCCCGCAGACGUUUUUACUUUCAAAAGGAGUUAUUUUUUUGGUAAAGAUAUUUACUUCAAGUCUGUUUGUCUUCUAACUCUCUUCAACUGCAGGAGCUUAAUAUAUUUGUAUUAAAAACAGACUUUUAUAUUAGGAGAAGUUGAAAGGAUGUUUUUUUCACGGUAACUAAUUAUCUUUCAGGCCUGGUUUUACUGAUGCUUUGUAAAAUAAAUGAAAAUAAAGCUUCGCCUAUUUAAUUUCUCUUUUUUUUAUUGGCUUCUGGUCAUCAAUUCCUGUUUUCAUUUGGUGUGUCCUCAACCUGUCAACACACGCCAUCCAUGACUCACCUUCAUGAACAGAUGUUCUUUUUGUUUGUUGUGGCUACUUUUCUUUAAGAAGAAGACCAAAACCAAAAGGAUUUGUUUCACAAAGCAGGACAAUAAAACGAGUCCUGGACAAUUCAAAUAAUCACAGGUAUUUGCGAGUUAAGUCACUUUUGUGUUUUCUGUGUAUACUGCAGAAGAGAUGCUCGCUGUAACAACACUCACUGGUGGCAGGCUGCUUUUGUAGGUAAAACAACCUUUAAUAUAUGGAAGACGAGAAUGGUAGAUCAGCUGUGCAAAAUAAAACAAAUUGCACUCACUCGCACAUGACAUUCUCUUUUUUUCCCACACUUUUACAUUUCCUGAGUUCCAAUUUCCGUUGUGCUGUGUCUGUUUUUACAUUUUCUCUGUGUGCAUUAUAUUCUGUAUUCAAUGUCAUGUAUGUAUUAUUUACAUCCAUGCUGUCUUUUUCCUCCAUGUACACAUGCAUCACAUACUGAAUUAAAGUGUUGUUUUCUAUACGAGCAUUGUUCUCACGCCUGUGUCUUUUCUGUCAGUUUCAUUAUUUUGCCAAAGCUUCUGGCAAAACAGUCCAAACAGCUCACUCAAAUUCUCUCUUCUUCACUCUCUCCCAAACACACACACACAAAGUCAUAAACUCAUCUUCCAAUAUAUAGAUGGAGGCAGACAGCCCUGUAAUUAAAUACAUCAGACAGAUGCGGCAUCAUUCCACGGCACCUUCGCCAAUUUGAAAGCAUUCGGAGCGAAGGUUUUAUGUAGAGAGUUGUGGUGAAAAAAAAAAAAGGUUUGUGAUGUUCUUGUUCUUUGCUUUGGGACCGCUAAAGUGCAUUUUCCUCGUACCAGUGCUCCGCAGGCUGCUGGGAUCGACAAGCGCUGGAACACUGAUGGUAUCAAACAGAGGCCUGGAACUUUUCUUUUUUUUUUUUUAGAAAGUACCUUUAAUGUAAAGUUGUUUUUGGAGAAAAAAAAAAAAUCAGGUUUUUUAAACCAUUUUCAUGUUUCCAUCAAGAUAUGUGAAAUUGCAUAUUUUAGCUGCUGAUUUCAUAUCAGGUUGUUUUUAUAUCCAGAUAAGUAGAGAAAGCCUUAUUGAGAAAACACAAAAUGUUGAAGAAUGUUUGAAAUAAAGUGAAAUGAUGUAACUUCAUAAAUUGGUGCAGAGGCCAAUACAUUAUUCCACUGACCUAUCAACUAACAUUUUUUUUCCCAUUUCACAGAUGUCUGAACAUCCAUUACUUUAUCUUUGUAAAACUAAAUUGCAUUGUGGUAUUUUCAGUUUUUUAACCUGUUUGCAUAUUUAUUUGAUAACAGAAAAUGCUGGACCGAAUGUUUCAAAUAAAGUAAUGUUUACUGAU